UACGUAGGGGGCUAGCGUUAUCCGGAAUUACUGGGCGUAAAGGGUGCGUAGGCGGCCCUUCAAGUCAGAGGUGAAAGGCUACGGCUCAACCGUAGUAAGCCUUUGAAACUGUAGGGCUUGAGUGCAGGAGAGGAGAGUGGAAUUCCCAGUGUAGCGGUGAAAUGCGUAGAUAUUGGGAGGAACACCAGUUGCGAAGGCGGCUCUCUGGACUGUAACUGACGCUGAGGCACGAAAGCGUGGGGAGCGAACAGGAUUAGAUACCCUGGUAGUCCACGCCGUAAACGAUGAGUACUAGGUGUCGGGGGUUACCCCCCUCGGUGCCGCAGCUAACGCAUUAAGUACUCCGCCUGGGAAGUACGCUCGCAAGAGUGAA
rnacentral:rRNA from 1 species